rnacentral:rRNA from 1 species
AACGAACGCUGGCGGCAUGCCUAACACAUGCGAGUCGAACGAGACCUUUGGGUCUAGUGGCGCACGGGUGCGUAACGCGUGGGAAUCUGCCCUUGGGUUCGGAAUAACAGUGAGAAAUUGCUGCUAAUACCGGAUGAUGUCUUCGGACCAAAGAUUUAUCGCCCAGGGAUGAGCCCGCGUAGGAUUAGCUAGUUGGUGGGGUAAUGGCCUACCAAGGCGACGAUCCUUAGCUGGUCUGAGAGGAUGAUCAGCCACACUGGGACUGAGACACGGCCCAGACUCCUACGGGAGGCAGCAGUGGGGAAUAUUGGACAAUGGGCGCAAGCCUGAUCCAGCAAUGCCGCGUGAGUGAUGAAGGCCUUAGGGUUGUAAAGCUCUUUUACCAGGGAUGAUAAUGACAGUACCUGGAGAAUAAGCUCCGGCUAACUCCGUG